rnacentral:rRNA from 1 species
AAUGAACGUUGGCGGCGUGGAUUAGGCAUGCAAGUCGUACGCAUAGCUUCGGCUAUGAGUGGCGCAAGGGUGAGUAAUGCGAAGGUAACCAACCCUGGUGUUGGGCAUAGCCGCGGGAAACUGCGGGUAAUUCCCAGCGACGUCACGAGAUGGCAUCAUCUUGUGACCAAAGGUGUGAUUCCGCUCUAGGACGGGCCUUCGUGGUAUUAGGUAGUUGGUGAGGUAACGGCUCACCAAGCCGACGAUGCCUACCGGUGUGAGAGCAUGACCCGGCACACUGGAACUGAGACACUGUCCAGACACCUACGGGUGGCUGCAGUCGAGAAUCUUCGGCAAUGGGCGAAAGCCUGACCGAGCGACGCCGCGUGAGGGAUUGAA